GACGAACGCUGGCGGCGUGCUUAACACAUGCAAGUCGAACGGAAAGGCCCUGCUUUUGUGGGGUGCUUGAGUGGCGAACGGGUGAGUAACACGUGAGUAACCUGCCCUUGACUUUGGGAUAACUUCAGGAAACUGGGGCUAAUACCGGAUAGGAGCUCCUGCUGCAUGGUGGGGGUUGGAAAGUUUCGGCGGUUGGGGAUGGACUCGCGGCUUACCAGCUUGUUGGUGGGGUAGUGGCUUACCAAGGCUUUGACGGGUAGCCGGCCUGAGAGGGUGACCGGCCACAUUGGGACUGAGAUACGGCCCAGACUCCUACGGGAGGCAGCAGUGGGGAAUAUUGCACAAUGGGCGGAAGCCUGAUGCAGCAACGCCGCGUGCGGGAUGACGGCCUUCGGGUUGUAAACCGCUUUCGCCUGUGACGAAGCGUGAGUGACGGUAAUGGGUAAAGAAGCACCGGCUAACUACGUG
rnacentral:rRNA from 1 species